GAUGUGUACAUUACACUAACAGACUAUGAUAUUAUGUAUAUGCCAUGUAUCAAUUGUCCAAGCAUAAUUAUAGUAUCAUUCACAAUGAUAUCACAAAAAUCAUCCUUUGUUAUAAAUUUGUAAUCAAGUUUGGUCAAAAGACCUACAGAGAUGACAUUCAUCAAAAAAGAGAGACAAUAAUAACAAUCAUUUAACAUGACACUACUAGACUCGAAGACAAGCUGCAAAGUUUUCAAGAUCAGAACUGAAACAAGACUUCCUUCCCCAA
rnacentral:lncRNA from 1 species